rnacentral:rRNA from 1 species
UACAGAGGUCCCAAGCGUUGUUCGGAUUCAUUGGGCGUAAAGGGUGCGUAGGCGGCGCGGUAAGUCGGGUGUGAAUCUCGGGGCUUAACUCCGAAACUGCAUUCGAUACUGCCGUGCUUGAGGACUGGAGAGGAGACUGGAAUUUACGGUGUAGCGGUGAAAUGCGUAGAUAUCGUAAGGAAGACCAGUGGCGAAGGCGGGUCUCUGGGCCGAUACUGACGCUGGAGGAGCGAAAGCGUGGGGAGCGAACAGG